rnacentral:rRNA from 1 species
AUUCCAGUUCCAAUAGCGUAUAUUUAAGUUGUUGCAGUUAAAAAGCUCGUAGUUGGAUUUCGGGCCCAGGUGACCGGUCCGCCGUUUCGGUGUGCACUGGUUAGCUCGGUCUUUCUGCCGGGGACACGCUCCGUCUUAAUUGCCGGACGUGGAGUCGGCGAUGUUACUUUGAAAAAAUUAGAGUGUUCAAAGCAGGCUUACGCUCUGAAUACUAUAGCAUGGAAUAACACGAUAGGACUCCGAGCCUAUUUUGUUGGUCUUCGGGACCGGAGUAAUGAUUAAGAGGGACAGUUGGGGGCAUUCGUAUUACGGUGUCAGAGGUGAAAUUCUUGGAUUUCCGUAAGACGAACUUCUGCGAAAGCAUUUGCCAAGGAUGUUUUCAUUA